rnacentral:lncRNA from 1 species
GUAAGCAUCAACACUCGCAUAAACAACUUGUUCAUCGCUCAGAACUUCAUCAUCCCAAUCACUUCUUCCAAUUUCACCACUCUGUUCAAUUUCAUAACCGAGACAUUUCUCAACGAUUUCAUCCACCGAAGCACGAGCUAGGUCUUCAUCAUCAUCAUCAUCAUCAUCAUCAUCAUCUUCAGCCUCUGCUUCAGCGUAAAGCCUCAGAUCCAACGGAUCUCUGUACAUCUCGAAUCGUUGAUCCGACGUCUUCAACUUCCGGCGAUCGGAGUGGUUCCAAAAACCUACAAAUGUGUGGUUACGAUUCAGAAGAAAGUUCUGGAGGCUCUUUGGAACGUUGGUAGCGUGAGCUAGUUGGAAGAUUAAGCAUCGGCGACCGACGCAGAGCUGUAAAGUAUCAGCUGGAGGAUCCCUGCCGCCGGGAGUCCAUUGAACGCCGAGACCGACGACGAGACGGUUUCGCUGUNNNNNNNNNNNNNNNNNNNNNNNAAGCAACGGCGGUGACGGUUACUUUGAUUUCGUUUCCGUGCAAGUUAACGGUGUAAACGUCGUGAGUGUUAAAGCUUUCACGGUCGACGAUGGAGGGCAUUUUGGACUUUUGAGUGUUAAAAUGAAAGGAAAUGGAAGAGAAAAUUUGUUGUGAGUGGAAUGCGGUUAUGGUGGCUGCUGCAUCAAGCGGUUAUGUACUAUUGGAGAGAGACAAUUCGCGCGGUAGUGGGAUAUGAUUCUGUACGAACGCUGCUGUAUAUUCUAUGAUACACC